UACGGGGUGCACCAGUGGGGAAUAUUGGACAAUGGGGGCAACCCUGAUCCAGCCAUGCCGCGUGAGUGAAGAAGGCCUUUUGGUUGUAAAGCAUCUUUAGUCAGUGAAGAAGACCUACCGGUUAAUACCCCUAUGCAUACCCUACUCAU
rnacentral:rRNA from 1 species